GGCUGCACUGGAUUCUUAUAGUGCUAUUUAACAAAACAAAUGAAACUGUUAAGGAACAACCUGUAGCAUCAAGCACAACAAUAGUAGUGUUUGAUUCUAUGAACUGUCCAACAAGACCAGGAUUGGUGACAGUACAUCACCGUCAUACUACAGAUAUUAUAAUGAGAUACCUAAACGUUGAAUGGGCAGCCCGAAAAAAACUUGAACAUGAUUUUAGGAGCAAUCGGGUUGUUUACCCAUUGGUACCACAGCAACCAAACUCAGUUGACUGUGGAGUUUAUGUCAUGAAAUUUGCAGAGAUGUUAAUUAAGG